GACGAACGCUGGCGGCGUGCUUAACACAUGCAAGUCGAACGGAAAGGCCCUGCUUGCCGGGUACUCGAGUGGCGAACGGGUGAGUAACACGUGGGUGAUCUGCCCUUCACUUCGGGAUAAGCCUGGGAAACUGGGUCUAAUACCGGAUAGGAGCCAUUUUUAGUGUGAUGGUUGGAAAGUUUUUUCGGUGUAGGGUGAGCUCGCGGCCUAUCAGCUUGUUGGUGGGGUAAUGGCCUACCAAGGCGGCGACGGGUAGCCGGCCUGAGAGGGUGGACGGCCACAUUGGGACUGAGAUACGGCACAGACGCCUACGGGAGGCAGAAGUGGGGAAUAUUGCACAAUGGGCGCAAGCCUGAUGCAGCGAGGCCGCGUGGGGGAUGACGGCCUUCGGGUUGUAAACUCAUUUCGCUAGGGACGAAGCUUUUUGUGACGGUACCUAGAUAAGAAGCACCGGCUAACUACGUG
rnacentral:rRNA from 1 species